AAUCAACGCUGGCGGCGUGCCUAACACAUGCAAGUCGAACGCGAAAGUCCCUUCGGGGAUGAGUAGAGUGGCGUCCGGGUGAGUAACGCGUGGGUAAUCUACCCUUGGGUGGGAAUAACCAGUCGAAAGAUUGGCUAAUACCGCAUAAUGCAGCGGCUCGACAUCGAGACAGUUGUUAAAGCGCAAUCGCAAGAUUGCGCGCCUAAGGAGGAGCCUGCGCUGAUUAGCUUGUUGGUGAGGUAAUGGCUCACCAAGGCUGCGAUCAGUAGCUGGUCUGAGAGGACGGCCAGCCACAAUGGCACU
rnacentral:rRNA from 1 species